AUUGAACGCUGGCGGCAGGCCUAACACAUGCAAGUCGAACGGUAACAGGGAUCAGCUUGCUGAUUCGCUGACGAGUGGCGGACGGGUGGGUAAUGUCUGGGAAACUGCCUGAUGGAGGGGGAUAACUACUGGAAACGGUAGCUAAUACCGCAUAACGUCGCAAGACCAAAGAGGGGGACCUUCGGGCCUCUUGCCAUCGGAUGUGCCCAGAUGGGAUUAGCUAGUAGGUGGGGUAACGGCUCACCUAGGCGACGAUCCCUAGCUGGUCUGAGAGGAUGACCAGCCACACUGGAACUGAGACACGGUCCAGACUCCUACGGGAGGCAGCAGUGGGGAAUAUUGCACAAUGGGCGCAAGCCUGAUGCAGCCAUGCCGCGUGUAUGAAGAAGGCCUUCGGGUUGUAUAGUACUUUCAGCGGGGAGGAAGGGAGUAAAGUUAAUACCUUUGCUCAUUGACGUUACCCGCAGAAGAAGCACCGGCUAACUCCGUG
rnacentral:rRNA from 1 species